AGAGAAAUCGGGUGUGAAUCCUGCUAUUAUGGAUAGAGUUACCAGAUCCAUAAAUUUUUCUGGGGCAGAUAUAAAUUUGUCAUAUUUAGGAAAACGUGUAAAAAGAGUUGAAUAAUGCAUAUUCUGCAGGAUUCUACAUUGCAUAAUUACUUAAGCUUUACACCUUCUGAAUUCUACAUACUACAGGGCAACCCUAACUGAUUCCUCU